ACUCUCACCGGCCGGAAGGGAUUCCUCACGGCCUCUGAGAGUGUACACUCUCAUCGACCGAGAGGGAUUCCUCUCGGCCGGUGAAAGAGUGCACUCUCAUGUACACUCUCACUGGCCGGGAGGAAUCCCUCUCGGUCGAUGAGAGUGUUUACUCUCACCGGCCAAGAGGAAUCCCUCUUGGUUGAUGAGAGU
rnacentral:miRNA from 1 species